CAAAUCAGGCAUGGGUUACAUAUCUCUUCUAGCAAUUUUCAAUUAACAACAGAUUACAAGCAUGUCACCAAGUCGAGCUGUUUGCCGCUGACGUCACCGUGAGCCCCUCGGGCGAUUGGUUUAUCUAAUCAGCCGCAGCCGCAAGAUAUAUAUGUAUGUACAUAUGUAACCAUAGCUAUAGCUAUGGCAAAUAUAAUAUGCCCGAAGAACGAGCGCUUGUAUGGGUGCUGCUAUGGAAGGAACAUCGUACAUUUUUGGCAUUUUUUAUUGGACCCCUAACACACGGCAAUCCAAUUGAUAUGAUGCUCGUCUUAUAAUUGGCAGUGCACGGAACUCGUUUGCCUAACGACUCACUAUCCCCAAUGCCCCAUGUGAAAAAACGCACAGACAGAGAUAAAGAAAUUGAGACGCUUAGCACACAAAUAACUCGUUCUAUUUUCACGUCGCAUUGAUUUUUGAAACCAUUUCAAGCGUCGCUUGGUGCCGGUUUGCUUUGGUGCCGAGUAAUGGGCCACUGUCCAGCGCUUCUGCCUCCCAGUCUCCGUAUCUGUAUCUGUAUCUGAGAAUGUAUCUGUAUUUACAUCUGUAUUCGUAUCUGUAUCUUUGGCUAGACACAGCUAGGCAAAUUCCUCGCAAAUAAGAAAACUCAAAGAGCACUCGGAGGCGGAGGAAGUGGUGGUCGCUUUUGCAAUUGCCAUCGCUGGUUACUGUGAAAGUGGACACUGAGAAUUCCGUGCAGAGGUGGUCACAGAAAAUAACAGCAAUAGAAACAACGGGCAAAGCCGUUUCUAACUUCGCCAGCGCUGUACUAAAUUUCAUUUCACGAAGAAGCGCGCACACUGUGCCGGACAUCCGCCAAAAAUGGUUAGAGACCCAAUUCCCAAAACAAGGAGUAUGAGUCGAUUAUUACCGCCGUUGCCUGUAACUACUACUGCGGGCCCGACCCACUGCUUAAAAAUCAUAGAAUCGGAGAAGGUAUAGAAAUUUCUGAAGGAAUAGCAAUGUCAAUAAAUUCAAAAAUUUUAUUUUAUUAUAAAGCAGAAGAACACGGACAUUUGAUUCUUUGUUUAUUUUUUCUUUUCCUAUACAAAUUUGAGACUUCCGCUGCCGAUUUAAAAUGUUCAGAACAAAGUGGGAGUGUAUGCAUAUGUUUAUCAAUUUUGAACCACAGUACGCAGCUUUUGCAGAAUACAACCGACAAAAACGAGGUAAGGAAAAACGUAAAAAAAAACCAUUAAUAGCUUAAGCCACUUAUCGCACAACGGCAACAACAAUGCUCAGAAUGAUGUACAGAAUGUAGAAAAUAAGAACAGCCAGUGGGCCAAAUAAGUGGUGGGAAUUAAACGCGAGCGGGUCACUUGAUGCUCCACUGGGCUUUUAGCUCGUGAAUAAGUGUUAGCAAACAGAAGGCUUCCACAACUGAUGAUGUCUUAU